rnacentral:rRNA from 1 species
UACGAAGGAUGCAAGCGUUACUCGGAAUUAUUGGGCGUAAAGUAUAUGUAGGCGGACCUAUAAGUUAAUAGUGAAAUCCCUGAGCUUAACUCAGGAACUGCUAUUAAAACUAUUGGUCUAGAGUGUAAUAGAGAGUGGGGGAAUUCCUGGUGUAGGGGUAAAAUCUGUAGAUAUCAGGAGGAAGACCGGAGGCGAAAGCGCUCACUUGGGUUAUUACUGACGCUGAGGUAUGAAAGCGUGGGGAGCAAACAGG